UACGAAGGGGACUAGCGUUGUUCGGAAUCACUGGGCGUAAAGCGCACGUAGGCGGAUGUGUCAGUCAGGGGUGAAAUCCCGGGGCUCAACCUCGGAACUGCCUUUGAUACAGCACGUCUCGAGUCCGGAAGAGGUGGGUGGAAUUCCUAGUGUAGAGGUGAAAUUCGUAGAUAUUAGGAAGAACACCGGUGGCGAAGGCGGCCCACUGGUCCGGUACUGACGCUGAGGUGCGAAAGUGUGGGGAGCAAACAGG
rnacentral:rRNA from 1 species